UGACUCCCAUCGGCACACAUGCACGCUGUCAUUUCUCCCAUCUUUAGAAACACCUCUCGUCUCCAUGCACUUCCCUAAUGACCACCAUAUUUCUCAGGCCCCUUUACAGAAAACCUGUUUGAAGAGGCAUCAAAACUGUUCAUCUUGGCCGGAAGCGGUGGCUCAUGCCUGUAAUCCCAGCACUUCGGGAGGCUGAGGUGGGUGGAUCACUUGAGGUCAGGAGUUUGAGACCAGCUUGGUGAACACGGUGAAACCCCGUCUCUACUAAAAAUACAAAAAUUAGCCAGGUGUGGUGAGCACCUGUAAUCCCAGCUACUAGGGAGGCUGAGGCAGGAGAAUGGCUUGAACCGGGAAGGCAGGGGAUUGCAGUGAGCUGAGGUCACUCCACUGCACUUCAGCCUGGGUGACAGAGGAGUGAGACUCCGUCUCAACAAAACAAAAAACCUCUUGGUCUCUAGUUUCCCUGCUCCCAUUCCUUCUCGAACCUGCUCCAAGUAGGCUUCUCUCCCCCCAUUCUACUGACACUGUUUCUGAGAUGGUCAAUGCCCUCCUCGUUGCCAAACCCCAAGGCCACUCCUCAGCCCUCGCCCCCACCCUUCUAUCUCUCUGGCUCGGUCCUCCCUGUGGCCUCUCACGUUAGAGUGCCCAGAUGUCAGUCCUGGGUCCUUGUCUCCUCUCUGUAGAUGCCACUUUCUCACCACUCUACCUGCUCUCAGGCUUUAGCUCCCAAUUUUUAUCGCCAGCCUGGACCUUGUUCUUGAAAUCCACAUUCAUAUAUCCACCUGUGCCAUACAUGUCCACUAGGAUCUCAGCUGACAUGUCCAGGAUGAAUUCCUGCUGCCAGCCUGCUUCCUCCUGAAUGGUCCUCAUCUCACCAAAUAGCAAAAUUCAUCCUUCCAGAUGCCUGGGCUAAAAAUCUUGGUGUUACCCCAGGUUUUCUUUCUUUCGCAGCCUACAUCAGCAAAUCCCAUUGGCUCUGCCUUCCACACAUCCGGAAUCCCCGCCUCUCCCCAGCUGCACCCCACCCACUGUCAUCUCUGGCCUGGCUUGUGAUGACAACCUCCUAACUGGUCUUUCUCCCCUUCUCCCCUGUAGUCCCUCAGCGUAGGAGCCAUGAUGACCCAUUUAAAGGGAAGUCAGAGCAUGUCCCUCUGCCCCAAAACUCCACAGUGGCGGCCAUCUCCCUUAGCUGAAGCCAAAGUGCUUCCAGUGGCCCACAGGCCUCGUCAGAUUGACCUCAUCGCUCACUGCCACGCCCCCAUCUCCUCUCUCCUGCCACUCUGGUCUCCACUGUCCCUGGAUGUGUCAAGCGCAGCCCCAGCGCAGGGUCUUUGCAUUUGUUCUCCUUGCUUGAAACACGUACAUUGCCUCAUGACUCCUUCCCUCUCUCCCCUUGCAUCUCCUCAAACAUCCCCUUAUUGGUGAGGGCUUUUCUGGCCAUCCUAUAUGCAGUGGUCCACUCUCUACCUCUGUAGACAGGUAGAGAUUUACUGUCCUCCAUAGCACUUAUGACCACCUGACCACACACUAUGCUUACUUGUUAAUUUUAUUUCCCGUCUCCUCUACUAGAAUCUAAAUCCCAUGAAGACAGGGACACUGCUUUGCUGCCUGCUAUGUCUCCAGCACUUAGAACAGUGCCUGGCACAUCACAGAGCCUCAAUAAUAUUUGCUGAAUGAAUGAGCAGGGUCCAUGUCUGGCCAGCACCCCGCCCUUUAACAGUGGAGAGAAACCAUCAUCGACGAAGGAUCUAUACCAGAGCUGCAACUGCCACCAGCGACCCAAGACAGAGAAAUGCCACCUUGCGUUACUAAAGGGCUCAUGACACCAUAUACAACAGCUGAAUCCCCAAGAGGAGUGUGGCUGAGGAGUGAGACGAAGGUCUCUGGGACACUUUCAGAAGGAUGAGACUUUGUCCAGCCAGUCCUCAUUAUGCCAGGCAAAGGAACUGCCUGUACUCAUAACUGUGGAAGGGGAACCACAUACCAUGGGCAGGUGGUCCAUGGGGGCAGUGAUUAAGAGCAAGUCCUAGAACUCACACUGCCUUUUGGGAGUUAAACUGAAACGAACUCACAACCCCCAGAUCCCAGACAUGCAUCACCCUUGAGAGGCCCCUACUCCCUGCACCUCUCCUUCCCAGUGCUUAGCACAAGUGUAAUUAUGAUGUGGAUAAUCAUUUGUCUAAUUUAAUGUCUGUCCCCAAAGGGCCUUUGUCUGUCCUGUUGUAUCACUCUACCCCUAGGACCUAACAUGGUGCUUGGCUUAUAGUAGGUGCUUUGGGUUCAAUGAAUUAAAAAUAAAUGUUUUUAAAAGAAAGACUGAAUGGGUCUCUACACUAUAAAACUUGACAGCGACCCCAACAUCUCCCCCAAAAUAACAUCAAAUAAAAAGCACGUGGCUAACUGAUAGAAGUACAGAAAGAUGAGGACCACAGGGGCAGACAUGCAGGGCACAGCCUGGCACUGUCCACAGGCCAGGAGCCCAGCAGGCCCACAUGAGCUGGCAGGCUAUUCAGUGGCACCUGGUGACUACCUACUGAAUAAGCAGUGAAUGAAUCCACAACUUCCCUGUGAGACAGACACAGGACGGGGGCAGGAUCCGAGAUUCUCACAUCGGAUUCAGCACCAAGC
rnacentral:lncRNA from 1 species